GCUGACUAUAAGAAUUUAAAUAUUAUGCAGUGUAAACUCUGACGGUAGCAAUUUAUGAUGAAUCUCCAGUCUCAGCGUAGAGUGAACAUGUUCACAUGUGGGGGCGACUUAAGAGCAUAUUGGAGAGAAUCGUUAGCAACUUUGGAAAGUUAAUACAGUUAAUGUACGGUUUCCAUAAUUCAUUAAUGAAAAGUUCUGAUUAUUGCCAGUAAGCGCAAGGGUUAGCUGUCUCACAGGAUUCCAGCUAUGGAUCUUCUGACAGGCUCACACAGUCAAAGUAUAGUCUCUGAUCCUCUGUCCUGGGUGUUGUAUAGAAAUGACACACACACACAAAUAAAACUCAAAUUGUACAAAAUGAAAAAAUCGGAUGUUCUGUUUUGGAUACAACUGGUAACAAUUGUGAUAUUAUUAAAAUGGCAGUAUGAUUAAUCUCAAUUAUGUAUUUUAUAGGGACAAAUCUGAUCAUAAAUUAUACGAUUGAAACCUUUCUUAUAGGGGAAAAUUAAUAAUAUGAUAAAUGUAUAUGGUUAUUUAAAUGAAGUAACCCUGAUGGGAAAACAAGAUGGUGACAAUGUUAAAAUUUGCAGUUUAUAUCUGUGCAGAAUUUUAGUAAUCUGAUUUCAGAAGUAUCAUGCCCAAAUGUAAUUAACUUUAUACAUUAAGAUAUCUAAUAUAUGUUCACAUUUCUGCUGUAUAAACAUAUUCGAGAAAUAAUAUAUGUGUACAUGUCAAUUGUCGAAGAGAGAUCAAUAAAUACUAAAGAAACUUGA